rnacentral:rRNA from 1 species
AAAAUACGGGAGGCAGCAGUGGGGAAUUUUGGACAAUGGGCGCAAGCCUGAUCCAGCCAUUCCGCGUGCAGGAUGAAGUAUUUCGGUACGUAAAGCUCUAUCAGCAGGGAAGAAAGAAGACGGUACCUGACUAAGAAGCCCCGGCUAACUACGUGCCAGCAGCCGCGGUAAUUUUU